UACGAAGGUCCCAAGCGUUAUCCGGAUUUAUUGGGUUUAAAGGGUGCGUAGGCGGGUUAUUAAGUCAGUGGUGAAAGCCUUCAGCUUAACUGAAGAACUGCCAUUGAUACUGAUGAUCUUGAGUAUGAUUGAGGCGGGCGGAAUGUGUCAUGUAGCGGUGAAAUGCUUAGAUAUGACACAGAACACCGAUUGCGAAGGCAGCUCGCUAAGCCAUAACUGACGCUGAUGCACGAAAGCGUGGGGAGCAAACAGG
rnacentral:rRNA from 1 species